CCUACGGUGGGCAGCAGUGAGGAAUAUUGGUCAAUGGCCGAGAGGCUGAACCAGCCAAGUCGCGUGAGGGAAGACGGCCCUACGGGUUGUAAACCUCUUUUGUCGGGGAGCAAAAGACGCCACGCGUGGCGUUCCGAGAGUACCCGAAGAAAAAGCAUCGGCUAACUCCGUGCCAGCAGCCGCGGUAAUACGGAGGAUGCGAGCGUUAUCCGGCUUUAUUGGGUGUAAAGGGUGCGCAGGCGGAAGAUCAAGUCAGCGGUAAAAUUGAGAGGCUCAACCUCUUCGAGCCGUUGAAACUGGUUGUCUUGAGUGAGUGAGAAGUAGGCGGAAUGCGUGGUGUAGCGGUGAAAUGCAUAGAGAGCACGCAGAACUCCGAUUGCGAAGGCAGCAUACCGGCGCUCAACUGACGCUCAUGCACGAAAGUGUGGGUAUCGAACAGGAUUAGAUACCCGAGUAGUC
rnacentral:rRNA from 1 species